rnacentral:lncRNA from 1 species
AUCUUGAGUGUGAUUCAAGGUUACAGGGGUGAUGAACAUCACCCCAGCUUCAUUUUGAUAUAAGGAUCGUGCAUUUCCAUGAAGGUUUGAAAACCUGCAAAAUUGGCCGGAAUCUGCAGGCUCACCGGAGAAGAAGGUGGCUCCGGUGGCCGCCUGUUCCCAGUUUGAAUCCUAGCCAUUGGAUGUGAUUCCCAGAUCGAAU